rnacentral:lncRNA from 1 species
CUUGAUUAUUAUAGACUGAUCGAGGGAUUCACCCAACGACAUUACGUCCAACACUUAUAGCAAGCGCAAGCAAAAUAUUCACGAAAAACACUUCACACAAGUCACCACUCGAACGGCUAGUGUGAUAAAGUACACACUGCUCACUUCGAUGGAUCAAAAACUAGUUUUGCAAAUUAUCACAUAUCGAGUCAAGAAAGCACUUUAACCAAGUAAGCAUAGAACAGGCAGGGACACUCACCAAGAGUGGAGUUCAGAUAUCAAGUUGAGAAUCGAAUUCCGCGUCCUCGCAAAAUCCUAGAAACCAAAUUUUGAAACUAUGAGUUUUUACUCAGUUUUUAAGCUUAUAGAUAUUGAGGUAUAUCUAAUAUACUACUAGUUCACUUUCCCUUAGAAAAAUCAAGAAUUUCCAUAGGUUGAAACUUGACAAAUUUAGAAGAAAUGUUUCUUAUAGUUUUCCGUAAGAUACUCUUCCUUAUAAAGGGUAACUAGUAUCCUUUUCUUGAAAUAAGUCGACAAAUCUCUCAACAACAAUGUUAGAAAGUUACUUUGAACAUUUCUCUAAAGUUACGGCUUUUGCAAAAAUUAUCCUUAAGAACUAUUUUUCCUAAAAUAGGGUUUCUUGCCGAGCAAGUCUCCCAAGCUUUUCACUAAUCUUAGUAAAGCUCGUAUUUUGGAACUUUUCCUAUAGUUAACUAUCCAAGUGCAAAGCUUAAAGAAAGAAAAAGAAUUAAAAUAAGACUUAGAGUUCCAAAAGCUAUAGAACUUAUUUACUAUAGCUAUCAAGGCUAGUUUGAGCUAAAGAAAAUUAUCGAGUUGGAAAGUUUUAGGCAAAACACUAGAUAUUGAGUUUUUAUAAUUUAAUACUAGCUGGAGAAUAUUUUUGAUUAAUUUGAUCACAGUUACUCAAGUUCGCAAGGUCGAUACAACUUCCACAGCUCCGAUUCCGUUUCGAAGUCAUAAUAUGGAUUAAAAUAUGGCAAAUAAUCACAUAGCAAAUUACUAGGGCUUCGUCAAUCAUUAGCCCUAGAUUUCAACAAGUGCACCUCUGAAUAAAAUAAAAUAGUCAACCAAGGCUUCAUCAAUCAUUAGCACUUGGUUUCAGCAAACCCAUCAUAAACAAUUAAAAAUAAAAGUAAAGCCUCCAAGACAUUCCAGCAAUUAACUUUCAUCACCCUGUAGUACUUAAUAAAAUCAUUCAGAUGGCCAAGGGCUUCAUCAAUCAUUAGCCUUUGACAACAUUAAUCACUUCCAACCACAAUUUAAUCAAGAAUUUAAACCACAAGUAAGCUGCAAGUUCAAUUCAAAUCAGAAUUUAAUUCCAUGAAGAAAACAGGACAUUCAUACCAAAACAGUCCACUUCAAGGUUUCACAGACAGCAGUACACAUGGAGGAAAAGUACGAAAUUUCUACAGAACAAAGGCCUAUGAUUCUAGUUUCAAACGCCACUGACGGCGCCUUAAACGGAUUUUCCUACACCAAAAUAUCAACAUUUUAUUGAGACUGGUCAUGGAAUAUCCGAAAAUCUGGAACUUCCAUUUUUCACUUGUGAAAAUUCUUUUUUCUCUUUUAACACCAAAAUGUUUUUAUUCAAACCAUCUUUAUACUUCUUAUAGAACUUCAAAACAACAUUUUCCAGGCAUUGCCAUCCAUUAUAUGUCCAAGAAAAUUUCCAAAAUCCAAGUUGAUAUUUCAACUCAACUUUCGGCAGCCACAAGAAAGUUUCCAGCAUUUGUAUACCCACAUGUUUGGUUAAAUCAUUCAAGAUAUCAAAUAUUUCCUUGCUAAACAAAUUAUACAAUUUAAAACUUACAACCCUAUUGUACUUCCAAACAUCAUACUUCCAGGAAAAUAAAAUAAAUUACCAAAAACCAAUUAAACUCCAAAAACAAACUGAAAUUGCUGGUUCAACCUGGCUAGCGGCCUCCAACAUUUUCCAGCCACCAAUACGCUUUAUAUCAAAUUUCCCUUGGUUUAAACAUGGUGCUAGGUACUCAAUUUCAGCAUAUAAACACCUAGUUAGUUGCUAAAAAAUUCCACUUCAAAACCAGGUUCAUAUAACAAAUAAAAAAAAAAUCAGAAAUCUCAUCCAACUAGUCACGGUUGCAUCAAUGCAUGAAGGGCUUUCUGUUUUCAUUUCAUUUUCGGGUUUUAAACAUGCCUUUAAACUCUCAAUUUCCGUUUACACCUAUCUGGCUAGCAAGUAAACGUGUCCAGUUCUGAAAUCAAGCUCAAACAACAACCGUUAACAUAAAAAUUUCCAAAAUUUUCCUUGCUUGGCUCGGUUGAUCAUGCCCUGAGGCAGAUUGCACUCUUAAUUUUUUUUCCUGCUUUAACCAACUAAUUGACCCCAUGCAGAGCCUAAUUUCUUGUUAUUAGCUAUCUAAUUAUGAUUAUAAGCUUAAACCACAAAAUUCACAUCAAAUAAACCAGAUCAAAGAGGAAAUAUCAUGUCAAAUUCUCGGCAGAACUUUUACUUCCAAAGCAGAAUUUUUCUAAGACCUUGAUUUCCAUAACCGGCUGCUUAAAAUUACAUGCAACCUCUGAUAAGACUUCCUCUGAUAAUACUUAACUUAAUUAGCCCAGAAAUUUACCUUAGAUACACUCUAAACUUACGCACAGAAAUCUGGAAUUUUCUUCCUUCCUCUCGGCUCUCACGCACCCUGUUUGGUCCUACGUUCAAUUUGCAGCUGGAAAUGGUGUUGUGAUGUAGGUGGUUGCAGCUGGUGGAUGUUGGUCUGAGGUUGACUUCCCUGGUCUCUUCCCUCAGCCUACGGACAGAGUAGAGACAAAAGGAAAAUGCAGCUCGCGGCUUUUCUUCAGUCGAUACUCACGAGGAGCAGCUCUCCCUCUCUUGCUCUCGGAUGCUACCUUUUCACGAUGAAGAUGGAGUGCAGUGGUUUCGGUGGAGUUGUGCAGAAAAGAAAUGGAAUUUGAUGAAGGUGGUGUCUCGGUAUUUAGAAAGGAAGCGGUUUGCUUGUACAGAGAAGAAAGGAAGUUGCGGUUUGUGGUUUGUGCAGAGAAGGAAAUUGGUAUUGUGUCUUGUGGCUGUGAAAUAG